rnacentral:rRNA from 1 species
UACGAAGGGGGCUAGCGUUGUUCGGAUUUACUGGGCGUAAAGCGCACGUAGGCGGAUCUUUAAGUCAGAGGUGAAAUCCCAAGGCUCAACCUUGGAACUGCCUUUGAUACUGGGGAUCUUGAGUCCGGGAGAGGUGAGUGGAACUGCGAGUGUAGAGGUGAAAUUCGUAGAUAUUCGGAAGAACACCAGUGGCGAAGGCGGCUCACUGGUCCGGUACUGACGCUGAGGUGCGAAAGCGUGGGGAGCAAACGGG